AUUUUGUUCCAGUGUUUAAAUCUUGUGAUUUAUUGCUUUUGUUAAAAUAGAGCAGCCCAACACCAUAGUUCUAAUCUUUAAGAGUUCUAAUUCUUCUCUACAAUUAAACACAGAAGACUCUUAAAGCAUUUGCUAAUACAGUCAUAAUCUAAGCAGUAGUGUUAAUAACCCUAUUUUAUUUUGCUGUGGAGGUGGCAACACAAGCAGAAUGGGAAUACUUCCAGAAAGCUAGGAGCUGCCUAAAUGCACUUUAAAAUGAUAACACUUUAUCAUUUAGGAAAAAGGGAAGUAAAAGUUAAUUAAUUACCAGUAUAAUUCAAUUCUUAAGGAAGCAUAAGAUUUUAAUGCCAAUGCACCAAAUAGGGAUUU